UUGCGGGUCACUCCGUCUCACCACGAUGAGCGGAAGACCCGGCGGCCUCAGAAGCAGGACAGCAGCAGCGGAUCACGUCCUGCUGGACGGUUUACGUCUGCUGUCCCUCAAGUGACAUGAGCCAACAUCACAGAUUACUUGAGACUAAAAUCCAAUAACAGUCAAGCAUUCCAGGCAGGAAAGGAGGACAGGAGAGUAUGCUACACAUCAACGCACAUACCCAUAUAGCGUGGGGUCUAAGCAACAAAGUUUAUGUGGAAACUGGGUGGGGGAAGUGUGUUAUCUUGCAGAUAGUAAAAGAAGAAGGACGUAGUCUACGAAAAUAUGAGAUGAAGCAUCACUCCAUUGGACACAAAGAAAGUAGCAGAGGUCAAGGCGCUCAGGGGUUGGCCACUGUCCGAAGCAAGCUUGAAGACACACCCACACAUACACAUAUAAAAAUGUUGUACACUGUUUGAGCGGGGCUGAUUCUCUCUGUGAAGACUUUUUUUUUGUCUGAGAUAAGCCCAGCGCUGAGAUUCAACUUAAUAAACUUCAACUUUUGUUCA